rnacentral:rRNA from 1 species
AUGGACGAGGUGUGGCCGUGGCUGGCCACCCUCCCUCCUCCCGGCGCUGGCACCGGCACCGCCACGGCAUCCAUCCCCCUCGCCGCCUCCCCCGAGGCCGAGGGCGCCUCCAUCGUCCUGCAGGCCGACUGCACCACCACCGCCGACGGCGGCACGGCCGUCGUCGCUUUCUCCAUCGCCGUAGACAGUGCCAACGGCGUGGCUCGCCGCGUACUCUGGACGUCCGAGGCAUUCGCGGCAGCCUCCGAGGUCGCCCCGCGGCUGCUGCUUCUGGCCCAGCUGCUCGACGAGGUGACCGCGCUCUCGCCGUCCAUCACUUCCUUGAGAAGAGAACCGGACGCGUCGUCGUCGGAGUCGAAGCUGCUGGACGCGGAGGUCGUGUCCGCCGUCAUCGCGGCCACGGGCGUCGAUGAUGGUUCACACUUCUUCUCGCUGGCGCUGCUCAUGCGUCUCUUCUGGCUGUGCGCCCUGGAGGCCCCCGCGGACCUUGGGUUCCUCUUCUUCCAAGCUCUUAGCACGGACAUCGAGCGCGCCCUCGCCGGCUGCGCCCCGGCGGCGCUCGGCGGGCUGCUGCUCUCCGUCGGCCCGGACGUCGAGGAGCGGUUCAUGCGGUCGCUCGGCUACAUGCUGGCCAAGUGGUGCCUGCUGCGGGAGAUGCAGUCGGCGCCCAAGCCGCCGGCCAAGCCCGACGUCGCGUGCCUGUCGUACGCCACGGAGGUGCACGGCCUCUGGGUGCUGAGAGGGUACGCGCCGGUGCUCGCCAUCCCCCGCGUCGCUGGUGCGACAUCGCCGGCGACGAUCACGGCCUUGCCUCAUGAGCUGCCGGAGGAGCCGGCGCUGCGGUACGGCCUGGUGCACCAGCAGCUGGAGGCCGUGGCCCAGGUGGAGUACGCGGUGAGCGUGCGAGACAAUGGCUUCAUCGUCGUCGGUGUGCACGUCGACAACAUACGGGUGCGCGUCGUGCGGCUCGGGUAUAGUAAGAAGGACGACACCGGCACUGGGGAAGACGACGUCGACGACGACCAUGUCUUGGACGGCGAGAGGCAUUUCCCGUCGCGUAUCCGGCUCUGGGUCGGCCCUAGGUUCGGCUCGUCCUACGCCACGGGCCCGAGCCUGGGCCGGUCGACGGGGAACCCGGAGCGGGAGGUCGAGAUGACGCGCACCGUCAAGGGCGCCUUCUCCGGCGCCACCAAGCUCGGCGGCGACCCGAGGGUGAAGGCGAAGAUGCGCUCGUCGUCGCGGGCACGGAACCGGAGCUGGCGGUGGGAGCAGGAGGCGGAGGGCAGCGCCGGCGUGUUCGAGGGCGUGCUGUGCGACCCGGCCACCGGGACGGAGGUCUCGUCGUGGCGCCCGGGCAGCAGAGAGGCCGACCCGCGCAGCGGCAUGAGGCGCCGGUACGGGGGCCCCGGGCGAGCGUUCAGCAAGAUGCGGGGGCUGGUGGUGGCCGGCGACGAGCUGCCGGAGGAGGUGACGUGGAGGGUAGGGAGGGAGGCGGAGGGGAGGACCAUGAGGUGGCGCCUGGGACUCAAGGUCUGGCUGAGCUACCUGCCCAACGAGGUGAGGAGCCGUCAUUUCGAGACCAGGUGCGUCGAGUGGGCGCACGAGGUCGAGCUACCGCUAAUGGCGACGACUCCAUUGUAA